UGCUGGUUAUGGAAAAUAAUCACUGCAAUAUAAAAUACCAUAUAUAUAGGAUUUGUUGGUGCUAGUUAUAAAAGACAAUCUCUAUAAUAAUUAUUACAAUAUUCCCUUAAAUAACACGUGUAGAAAUUUUUUAUAUAAGUAAACCUCCAGUCAUAUAUAUAUAUAUAUAUAUACCGGGGAAGAAAAAUAUUCACAAGGAGGCAAUUUUUCAAAAAAAAAGAGAGCCGCACACAAAAAAAACCCUAAAAAUAAAAAAAAACCUAAACCCGUUUCUCUUUCUUAGCCGCAGCCCCUCCUCUCUUAAAAAACAAAAAAAACCGCCGCCCGUAGCCCCACCUUCUUCUCCUCCCACAGCAGCCGACCAGAUCGUUCCCCUUGCCCUCCCAUCUCUCCAGCCGCCCAUCCUCCUUUCCCACAGAAGAAAGCAGCUGCCGCCCUUCCCCUUUUUUGGGACCAAAACCAGAGAGCACCUCACGGUUCUUCUUCCCCAUCGCCAUUUUUCAGCACUCGAAACCCCCGACUCUUUUUUGUUUUUUGCCUCAGCUGACCGAAACCUUCAGCCUUCCACCAUCUCCUUCCCCCACAAGCCAACCAACCCCAGCUCCUCCACAAUACAGCCCCAGCCAUACUCUCCCCGAUGUCUGCCUCUUAAUCUCCAAAAUCAAAGCCAACUCUCCCCAUUUUUCCAGCCAAUCGCCUCCCAGACCCGCACACACUGCCUCCUCUCCAUUUCCCCUCUCCAUCGUCCUCUCCUUUCUCAGCCGACCCACAGCCAUCACAGACCGGACCAGCCACCAGCAACAGCAAAGACGCAACACUUCUACAGAGCCAGCAACCCCUCCCCUCUCCGUAGCGGCUCCACCGGACGCGGGCGACAGCAGCGAAACAACAGCCCACAGACCCACCGCUGUCCCUUUCCCCAGCGGCGACACCCACAGCUCCGACCUCUAACACUCCUUCCACAACCUCCAAAUCAGCCACCGAAGAAGGGAAGAACAACAAACCAUAACUGAAAACAGACAAAAAAAAAACAGAUCCGAAAGAGAAGAAAAAAAGAUAAAAUCAACUGUUUGCGGCCUUUUUUUUGUGUUUUGCAGGUCACCGCCGGCGAGGAAGGCAAGAGAGGAGGAAGCCGCUCCAGAUCCCCCAGCUGCCCGGACGCGCCGCCAGUGUUCCUGCUUUCCCAGAAGUGUUCCUCUGCAAUUCCUGAAUAUUUGGGGUCUAUUUUGCAAUUUUUGAAUUGUAUAUCAUGUGUAGAUUUGUUUUGAAUUUAUGUUAUUUGUAAUUAUAUAUGAGUGUACGAGAAAAACAUAAUAAAAAGGGGAUGUGUGUGUAUGUAGUUUUUUAUGUAUGUUAUUAAAUUAUAAAAUCAAAAAGAUAAAAAAAUGAAUUUAUUGUUUUAAUUUGGUGUAUGGUCGAGUAUUUGAAGGACAAAUAAAAUUAUGUUGUAUUUCUCGUGAAAAUAUAAGAACAUGUUUCUAUGUAUAUUCUGGGAUUUAAUAUUUGAUUUAUUAAAGCCGUAAGAAUUUGACUAAUUUGACUUUAAUUGUGAUUAAAUGUAAUGUUUGUGUUUUUGAUAAAGAAAAUAUAAAAAAAAUGUUUUUGUGUGUUGCAUACAGCUAAUAUCCUAACAUGAUUUGAACGUUUUUUUUAUAUAUAUAAAAAAACAAAUAUUUGAAGUUUUGAAAAUAUGUUUUCGCAUGGAUUUCUUAAACACAAAAAUUAUUUUCUUGCAUUUCUGGAUUUUUCAACAUGUUUGUAAAACUCCAAAGGGUGUUGGCCAAUAUUCCAAAAAAUAUAAAAAUCUUAUUUUGGGGAGAAAUCAUUUAGUAUUCACCAUUAAUGUUUGGAUAAAGAAAUCUCAAAGGGAUGAAUAUCCAAAAUAUUUAAUGGGAAUAACUUGUUAUUAUUCACUGUUAAUAUUUGGAUAAAGAAACCCUAAGUGGUAAAUAUCCAAAAUAAUUUUCUAGGGAUAAUAAGUCAUCACACAUCCUUGAAAGAAGCCUUGAUUAUAAUCGAGGACGUUUCAUUUGUUUACUCCACGGUUUACAAGCCGUGAGAGUAUAAAACACUAAGGCAAAAAAUGGCUUUUAAAGCGCCCUAGAUUUCUAAAUUUUUGUCCCUCCUUGCGAUUUACGAGUCGCAAACUCUUGAAAUACUAAGGGGAAAAUGAGCUUUUAAAGCACAUGGAAUCUCCUUGGAUUUCUAUCUUAAUAAAUUUAGUCUGAAUCAAACACAGAUUUUAAGAGAUCUGCAUUGUUUCUCCCUGGUACUUUGUAGACAUAUCUAAGGGUGUGAUCCACAUUGACCAAGGUUUAUUUAUUUUUAAAACUUUCAGUCCAAAUCCAUUCAUCAUAGCAAAACGUAUCCUAGGAAAACACCAACACCAUAGCAAUUAUAAAGCAAACCAAACACCAAGCAGCUUACCUUAGGUAGGGCGUACUAGGGGUGCUAAUACCUUCCAUUUACGCAACCAGUCCCUUGCCUUAGAAUCUCUGAAAGACCAGUUAGGGUUCCUAGUGCCAUAAUACUAGGUGGCGACUCCCUUAUUCACAAUAAAACAAAAAGACCCCAAAAUCAAUCGAGGAUCGCCGCGACGCUGCGCUCCGCCACGAGGGUGCGACUACACAGGGGACCCUUUGGACUAAGCUUGGUAAUUGUUUUUUUUUUAUGCUAUGUGUUGUUGUUUUUUUUUUUACUAUGAAUGACCCUUUGGACCCUUUUAGAGAUUCUAAGGCAAGGGACUGGUUGCGUAAAGGGAAGGUAUUAGCACCCCUAGUACGCCCUACCUAAAGUAACCUGCUUGGUGUUUGGUUUGCCUUAUAAUUGCUAUGGUGUUGGUGUUUUCCUAGGAUACAUUUUACUAUGAUGAAUGGAUUUGGGCUGAAAGUUUAAAAAGAAAUAAACCUUUGUCAAUGUGGAUCACACCCUUAGAUAUGUCCACAAAGUACCAAGGAGAACCAAUGCAGAUCUCUUGAAAUCUGUGUUUGAUUCAGACUAAAUUUAUUAAGAUAGAAAUCCAAGAAGAUUCCAUGUGCUUUAAAAGCUCAUUUUCCCUUAGUAUUUCAAGAAUUUUGUGACUCGUAAAUCGCAAGGAGGAGAGACCAAAAUUUAGGAAUCUAAGGAAAGUCAUGGUGCUUUAAAAGCUUAUUUUUACCUUAGUGUUCCAUACUCUCGCGGCUCGUAAACCGUGGAGUAAAAAAUUGAAAUGUCCUCGAUUAUAAUCAAGGCUUCUUUCAAGGAUGUGUGCGGAUUUAUUAUUUCCUAGAAAAUUAUUUUGGAUAUUUACUACUGAGGGUUUCUUUAUCCAAAUAUUAACAGUGAAUAAUAACAAGUUAUUCCCAAUAAUAUUUUGGAUAUUCAUCCCUUUGGGAUUUCUUUAUCCAAACAUUAACGGUGAAUAAUAGAUGAAAAUCCCCCCAAAAUAAAAAAUUUUGUAUUUUUUGAAAUAUUGGCCAAUACCCUUUGGAGUUUUACAAACAUGUUGUAAAAUCCAAAAAUGCAAGAAAAUAAUUUUUGUUGUGUUUAAGAAAUCCGUGUGAAAACACAUUUUUGAAACUUCCAAUAUUUUUUUUUAAGAACGUUCAAAACAUGUUAGGGUAUUGGCCAUAUGCAACACACAAGAAAACAUGUUUUUUAGAUAUAUGUAUAUUUGUCACAGUGCAUCGAAAACCGGGUAUUCUAAAUACGAGAUUGAUAUAUAUUUUUUUACAAAAUAAAAAAAAUUCAGACCUUAAAAUAAAUAUUCCAGAAAAUCAUAAAUCUCUUUCUCUUUCUUUUAUUUUUUUUUUAAAGAAAAAAAAAAGAAAAAGAAAACAGCAUGUUCGGCUGGGUCACUUGCCCAAGCAAGUGACCCGGUUUGGACACAAAAAAAGGAGCGCAGUCUUCUCAAUGAACAAGGCAAAAUGCAUGCAAAUAGACCACGUUACUGUUCAAGUGAAUUAAAAUUCACUUGAACAGUGCAAACACAAAGCAAAAAAAUGCAUGGUGCGGGAGGUGAAGAGAACAGACCUGGGAACGAAAGGACAACGGCGAUGUUUGAAGGCUUGCUGGCUAGUCGAUCAGUGUUGCCUCUACUUCAGCUCUUUCCCCCUAUUCUUUUUUGGCGUUCUUCUUCUGAGCUUCACCUCUGCAAUCUUCGUUCCUCUCUCUUUCUUCUGGUUUUCUGCACUUUCUUCUUCCCUGUUUUGCAGAUCUUAUAUGCAAAAAAUGAAAGCAAAGACCGAAAGGCAGUCCCUGCUGGUUUAUGGUUUCUCUUCUUUUUUUCGUUUUUCCUGCGCUUUCUCCCUUUUUUUUUGUCUCGUUUUCUGUGUUUUCUUUCUCUCCCUCUCUGGUAACUGAGAUGGAUAAAGACAAUGGUACUGCAGCUUCUGCGCACAGCCGGUGGUCACUGCUUCUGGGGACAGUGAAAACGUUGGCCACGCUGGUUGAUGAUCUCUAUUCCUUUUCUUUCCUUCUGCUGAUGCUCUCUGUGGAGAUGAUGAGGGAGACGACGAUGAAAACGUGCUAUGCUGGUUGAGUUCACGCCCCUGCCUCUGUUUUUUUUCUGCUUUUGACAGUGGCGUUCUGCUUUCCUUUUUCUUUCGUUCCUCUCCUUUCUUUUUCUGCCUGGCUUCACAUCUCUCUUUUUUUCUGUAACUUUGUUCCUGUGAAGACUUUCACAGUCGAAAAGAUGAACCCUUGCUCUCUGCGUUUUUCCCUCCUCUUUAGGUCAACAGCCGAGGCUUCUAUAUAGCCUAUACAUGGCUUUAUUUAGGAAACAAAUAUUACAUUAACUCUAAGGUGUAUUCUCGGGUGAGCAGAAAUAGGAAACCAUAAUGUUUGAUUCUGAUUUUGUGAUCAGCAGUGAUUUCUUUCCUAGUUAGAGGAUGGUGUGGCUCUUUUCUUUCCUUCCAUAGGGCCAGCUGCUUCCUUUGAAAUGAGGCAACAAAAACGUGGUCUUCAGCUCCAAAAAUCAAGCGUGAUGAGAAAGGAAAACAGCAGAGAAAAAGAGGAAAGAAAUCAGAUGGAGGGUGCAGCUGCAAAGUAGUCCUAUUUUCCUUAUUCGUGUGAUAAAAAUCCUGUCAUUUAUGAUGAUCCAGCCCCCCUCUCCAGCUUUCAAUGUCCUUCUUCAAUUCAAUCCUUCAAUUUAGCACAUUUCGAUUCAGUCCUUGGUCCACAAAAAAUCCUUCGAAUCAGUCCCGCGAACUUGGGCAAAAAUCCUUCUCGCGGCCAGGAAUCCCUGCUUUCAACACUAGAUAUUCAAACGGGAAUAUCCUGAGCUUUUGAUAUUGAAAUCAAGCGAUUCAAAAGCCCAAAUUCAUCUACGUGUCCCAGAAUACAACUUUGAUGAAGGAUUCAAAGUGAGAUAAAUUUUUUUUGAAUAACGGAAUUGCAACCAAACUCGGCUGGAAACCUUCUCGCGGCAAGAUUCUAUGUUUUCAUGCUAGAUUUCAAACAGGAAUAUCUUGAGUUUCUGAUAUCGAAAUCAAGCAAUUCAGAAGCUCAAAUUCAUCUACGUGUCCCGGACUACAAAUUUGAUGAAGGAGUUGAAGUGAGAUAAAAUCAUUUUAGAGAACAGAAUCUGCCAGUAAUCUAGUUGGUCAAAAAGGUUCUUGAUCUGACGAUGCUGAGCAUCCAAAUCUAACUGAGAAUUUUCCCUACGAACAAUGAUCCCUAGGACCUAAUAAAGGUGUACGUUAAUUUUUUAACAUAUCAUGAGUGACAGAAUAUACUUAGGAUGGUCAGAUAUCAUACGAAACCGAGUCAGAAUCAGAGCCUAAGUUGGAACAAAAAAUUGGGACAACAGCAGAAUCAUUUUUUUAACGCAAAUUCUGAGGGAUUUAUUCAACCUUAAAGACCAGAUAAAAAAGAAAUGAAUUUGGCAUUAUGAAGACUUCUGAUCAAUCUAAGAAAACCUGACGAUUUUGGUAGUAAAGGGGAAGGAUAAAAAGAGCAGAAAACAGCUCAAACAAGGUUUCAAAAAAACAAAAUAUUUCUUUUUGUGCUUUUGUCAAUCUUCUGGCGAAUAUGAGCUAAACUCCUACACUCUGUUCAAAAGAGGUAUACACCGUCUCCAGCACGUGGGGUUCAAAAUUGAGUAAAAACAUCAAGCACUAAGUAUAUAUAAUAAUUUAUCCUCUUAAAAAAUACAUAUAAACUAUCCUAUGUAUAACCAUGAACAUAUUUAAAUUUUAAAUAUUGGCACUUUAAUUAGCUGUAGUUUUCUAGAAAGUUUGUUCUACUUUUCAUCACGUGAAGAAUGAGAGGGUUACGCUGGGUGGGCUGGGUCACCUGCAGGAUUGGAUAACUUGCAGUUGCUAACUUUUGUCACUUUUAUUUUAGUUUGUUUUGGUACUUUUAUUCUGUUAGAAAUGUUUUGUAUUUAUGUAUAUGAUAUGUUCUGUUUUUAGGUGUGUUUAAUCUCUAAUUGUUUGUUACUAGUUUUUUUUUUUUUUGGGUUUUUAAUACACGGUUUUGCUUAUUUAAAACAGCCAAAAGUUAUCAAUAAAGGAGGAAAUCAAUUAAUAUCUAAACCUUGUGGUACUUUCUCACCUGAAGAGAGAAAUUAUUGUUUUAAUAAUUGCUGGACCUAUCAAUUUUGGUGCCUAAUCUUAUCAGAACUGUUGAGCGUUGGCCAAAUGAUGCAAAAGGGCUAUAUGUUAGUAUUUGGUGAUGGAUUGUGUAGGAUUAAAGAUCCAAAUGGUACUAAAGGGCCAAAUGAUACGAAAACUAUAUAUUAUCAUUAAUAGUUUAAGCAAUCACAGCCCAAUAUUUCAAAUAUUCUGUUGCCUCCCAAAAAAAAAAUGCUUUUGUUUAUUUAUUUUGUUUAUACAACAAGGCGAGAAUUUACCUACCAAAUGAAGUCAGGUGAGAAUUUUUUCACCAGGUAGAUACUUGAUAGGAGCCGGGUGUUGUAACUUAUUUUUGGGUCCCCCGCAAGAAAAUAAAAAAAUGUAUUCGGAAGAAAAAUAAAAAAUAAUAGCACUGAAAAAAAGGAUGUCAAAGCGCCUAGAAAAUGGUCAAAAAUUGAUUGAGGAGCUUCAAAAAUAUAAUGAUUGAAAAUUUGACAGUAUUUUACUAACUGAUGAGAGCCCCGUUGAUGGAGAAAAUUUGAUUUGAGAAAGAAAAUGCCAAAAUCAGAUGUUUAUGGACUCAAUUAAAUUUUAUUGAAGGUUUAAUUGAAUUUAUGGAGGAUUUGAUUGCAAGGAAAAUUGAUUUUGGAGUUAAUUUGGGCUUUAAUUGGAAGAAAUUAAAGUUCUGGGGUCAAAUUAUAAUUUUUGAGAGUUAAUUUGGUCAAAUCAGGGGCUUAAUUGCAUAAAUAUUAAAGUUUGAUGGCCAAUUAGGGACUUAAUUGAAGAAAUCUGAAACCAAGGACCAAACUGGAAAAGGCGUGUAAUUAUAGGGGCUGUAAUUAAACCCGGAUCAGGGGUCAAAUUGAAGAAAUUAGAAGUUUAUUACUCAAUUGAGGGUCAAAUUGCACUAAUUCGAGACUAAGGACCAAUUUGGAAAAGGCGGCCAACUUCAAGGCCGACGAUUGAAUUUAACAGGGAUGCAAUUGAAUUGAUUUUUAAAAUCAAAAUUUGCAAUUGAGGACUCGAUUGAACAAAUCACAAAUUGAGGACUGAUUUGUACUUUUACAUAAGUUUGGCGUCGUUUUCAUUUAAAUGAAACGGCGUGUUUUGCCCAAAACGGCGCCGUUUCAUACACUAUUCAUUUUAUAAAAAAAAAAAAGGCCGAAAUGGUGCCGCUUUGAAGGCACUGUGGGUCUUCUUCUUCCCCUGAACGCGCGAAGCAGGGGAAGAAGAAGAUCUUUUCUCCCCUGUUUCUCACUGACUUACUGACUUCCCUUUCCCCGAUAAACCAAAAUGACGUCGACCAAGGACCCUCCACCUGCACAGCUUUCCACGUGUUAGAGUUAGGGGAGGAGUGGUGUCCCUAGGGUGGUAGAGGGGCGGCUGAACAGUGGCCGCCCCGUCCACCCUACACCCCUGCGCCAUUGACUGGGCAGGGGUGGAGGUCUUCCUUUCUACCUUAUAAAUACAGGGGAGAAAGGGGACACAAGGUGACGAAAAAAAGAGGAGAGGGAGAGAAACAGAAGGAUAGAAAAAAGAAAAAUAAAAAUAGAGUAAGAGAGAGAGAGCAAGAAAAAAAAACAGAGAAAAAAAGCAAAAAAAAAAGAGCAAAAAAAGGAAGAAGGAGAGCAGGAGGGACGAACGAAAGGAAAAAAAAAGGAAAGCGAAGAGGGAAAGGAGAGAAACGAAGAAGACAGACGAAGAAGUGGAGCAGGGGAGAAGCAGAGGAGAAAAGAAGUAGCGCCACCGGGUCCAGCCAUCGUCUUCGCCACCGCAGAAGACAACAGCCAAGCCUCUUCAAGCCAGGUACUGCUUCUCUCCUUCUCUGCUCCGUCUUCUAUUUUCCUUUCAUUUGCAUGCAGAACGUGAGCAAUUCACGUUCUGCAGCAAAUGAAUAAUUGGCUGGUUACUGUGCUGCGCAAAGUAACCAGCCAAUUAUAAGCACAGUAACCAGCCAAUUAUAAUUGUUUGGGCCGGUGUUGGCCCAUUUUGCACAAUGGGCCGAUGCUGGCCCAUUUUUAUCUUUUGGGCCAAUUGGCCCAUUUGUUUUAUGUUGGGCCGGUGUUCGCCCAUUUUCAUUUUCUUUAUGUUGGGCUGGUGCCGGCCCAUUUCAAUUAAAUACACUGUAACAAUACAAAUCAGGUAUUAAAAUACACGGUUUUCGUCAACAAAAAAAAUAAACAAAAAAAAAUAUUUUUCGUGCAUACGGCCAAGCGUCUCAAAGCUAAAAAAUCAUAUCGUAUUUUUUAUCAUACACUAAAGAAAUGUUUUAGCAUGCAUUUUGACUUUAAUAACCAGUUUAUUAAAGUCAAGAGAACAUUGGCCAAUAUUUCAAAAAACAUCAAAAAAAUAUUUUUGUUUGGUUUUAAUACCAGAGAUUAUGAAUUUAUACGUAAAACGUAUUCCUAGUAUUAAAAAGUUUUUUUUAAUAAUUUGCUUAGAUUUUUUUUUUCAGACCAUAAAACAAUGCAGUUUAUCUUAGGUAGGGCGUAUUUAGGGUGCUAAUACUUUCCCUUUAUGCAACCAGUCUCUGUACCUCGUCUCUGAGACCAGUUAGGGUUCCUAGUAAUCAAAAUACUAGGUGGCGACUCCCAGUCCAUAUUUUAUUAAUAAGAGACAAGAAUUCCUUAUCUUUUCAUAUUUGCCAGAUAGACUAGACAUUAAAAAAAAUUUGUGGUUGGAUCAUCGUCACGGCACCACAUACGUGCAACAGGGAAAACUCCAUAAGUAAAUAAUAUUUCCACUGCUCAAUUGUAGACGAAGAUAUUGAACCGUCAAGGGGAUGAUGAAGGAGAUGAUAUGGUGGUGAAGGUAUCACUUUUGACUCUUGUUUGUUAAUGCCAUCACCCCCCUCUGAAUCUUCAAACGCAGACUCUUCUUGGUUGUCAAUGUCAUGAUCCCUCUCUGACCCUUCAAAUGAAUCUGUCUUAGAAUGGUAGUCUAACGAAUUAUACCUCCAUUGAUCUUUAUUUUUUUAUUAUUAUUUACUUUAUUUUAAAAUAAUUUAUGAAAUUAAAUUUUUUUUUAAUUUCAUCCUCUUUUUUUUAUAAGAUUUGGUCUCUAUUUUUAAUAAAAUAAUUUAUAAAAUUAGAUAUGUUUUUCAAUUUCAUCUUCCUUUAAUUUUUUUAUCAAUCAAAUUUUUGGUCACCAUUCUUUUAAUAAACUUGAAAACAAAUAUUAAUAAGUUUUUUUUUCAUGACUUGGUUAAAUAUUAGAAAAUAUUUCACAAUUUAUUUUUUCGUGACACUACUAAACAUCAGAAAAUAAUUUAUUUUAUAGAAAUUCAUUUUAUAUAUAAAUUAUUUUUCAAAAAAAAUUUAUUUUCUAACAAACAAUCAUCUCGUAAUACUCAAAGCACUUUCUUUGUAAAAAAACAUAUAUUUCCUAGGGGUUUUGGGAGGGCUUUACUUGUAUCCAAGGUAAUGUGUAAGUUGGACGCCAUGAGUGAAGCUAGCCUAAACUCCAAAUCGCAAGUCUACGAUGAAAAAUGGUUAAAACUCCAACUGAUAAUAAUCUUAAUACUGUAAAGUCUUAAUAGUAUUAGAAUUCUUAAGAAUUUUAAAUUUUAUAAAUUUAAAUCCUAAUUGAUAUUGAAAUUCAAUAAUCCUAACAUAAUGAUAACAAAUAUGGGUGACUUUAACUCAUGCACUUGGAAUUAAAAUAUCCAUUUGAAAUAUUUAAUAACUAGUUAUUAUGUCAGAUAGGGAGAGAUUGAGGCUUCACACAGAGGAUACAUAGUAAUGGGGGAGGGUGAGAUUGAGGCUUCACACAGAGGAUACAUAGUAAUGGGGGAGGGUGAGAUUGAGGCUUCACACAGAAGAUACAUAGUAAUGGGAAGGUAAAUACACUAUCAAAUCUUGUAACAUCAUCAUUGAUAGAAUUAAGUGCCUUGUUAUAUGAAUUCACAUUUAUGAAGAGGAAUAACUUCACCGAAGAUUGAAAUGUUCUCAUGGCUGUUAUUUUGUUACCUCCAGACAUUAGGAUAAUCAUUAAAUUUAUUUUUUUAAUAGUGACGGUGAUGUCCGGGUGUGACAAAGUAUAAUAUGCCACAUCCAUAUAUUAAAAACAGUCAAUAUAAGUGGUUUCGUGAAAAAUGUUGAUAUGGAAAAUUAAAUGGAGGCGGCUUCCCUAUUUGAAGUUUUAACCUCUAAGGAGAAAAAUAAAAGUCACUAACUAUACAGUGUUCUAAAGCAUUUGGUAGUAAUCUUGACUAAAAUUGGCAAAUGUUAAAUUAGACUACGUACCAAUCACUCAAGUGUCAUUUUGCAAUUUUACUUUAGGGAUAACUUCUCGAUCGUACAUAAGUUCCCAACUUAAAUUGGGUCCCAGGGAAUUCCUUUUGUAUUGGAAAUUCUCAAUCUCAUGAUCGGAUCCGUCUAUCGAAAUUCAUAAUAUUUUCUCUCUCUCUCUUUUUUAUUAAAAUUACAAUUAUUGGAGGAAACUCUUGAUUUUUUGGCUCAAUAAUAACUCAACCAACUUUCUUACGUAUCCCUUCCCUGCGAGUAAAAACCUUUUUCAACUUAAAAUUUUCUAUUCAAGUUGAAAACCUAGAGUCAUAAUUGUAUAUAUAUUUUCAUGUUGUAUUUUCAAACGUGUCACCUUAAGCUUUGAAUUGUCACUUUAACAAAUGUACACCUCAAGUGUCACCUUAAGCUUUGAAUUGUCACCUUAACAAAUGUACACCUCAAGUGUCACCUUAAGCUUUGAAUUGUCACCUUAACCAUUUUUCUAUUUAAAUUGGAUCAACUCUUAAGCUUUGAAUUGUCACCUUAACCAUUUUUCUAUUUAAAUUGGAUCAACUCUUAAGCUUUGAAUUGUCACCUUAACCAUUUUUCUAUUUAAAUUGGAUCAACUCUUAAGCUUUGAAUUGUCACUUUAAAAUUUUCAAAUGUACACCUCAAAUGUCACCUCAAAUAAUAACACGGAAAAAUUACUUCUCUUCUAUCUAUUUUUUUUAUAUAUAGUAAACGAGUGAAUUAUAUAUUAAACAACCCCAUUAAGUAGGUGAAACUGAAUGAAAGAUAAAUACAAUGGGAAUAUAAAAGAAAAGAGAAGACCAAAGCGACGAGGGACCUAAUUAAUUAGUCCAGUUCAUAAUACAUUCAGGAUUUCUAAAAAGAUUUGAGCCUGUAUAGCUGAAAUUUCUAACUGAAGACUUCAACCAGAAGGCCAAACGGUGAAAGGUGAGAUCAAAAAUCAUAUCCCAAUCCGGAGCCUUGGAUUCAAAGAUUAGGCGGUUGCGCGCUAUCCAAAUUGACCAGUACAGACCUUUGCAAAGGAGGGUAAUAGCACGUCGCUGAAAAUUUCCAUUAAUCAAACCGGACCAUUCCUGUAGAUGUUGAUAUGGGUCUUUGUGCAGACAACCUAAGCACCCAAACCAGUUCAAGAAACGACCCCAAAGAGACCAUGUUAUAGGACACCAAUGGAAGAGAUGAUUAAUUGUCUCAAUUUCCUUGCAGCAGAAUGGGCAGUGAGAUUCCUCAUAUUUAAUGAUUCUCCUCUCAGCUAAAAAACUCCGUGUACUCAAACUGCCAUGAAGUAGAAGCCAUAUGAACACAUCCACUUUUGGAGGAGCAUAACCAUUCCAUAGCAGAACAGGGGAGUGAUUAUUUUCAGUUACCGAUAGACUAUCAAAAAGAGCGCAACCUGAUUGAGCUGAGUACAUGCCAGAGCUGUGAAAUUUCCAUACCUUGCGGUCUGCACCAUCUGAGAAAAUUUCCAUACUUCUCUUCUAUCUAUGUCUAGCAGUAUUAAGAAAAAUUAAGUUUCAAAACUAUAUACAAGCCAUUAGAGCCAUUAAAUUUGUGGGAUCUGUCAUCCAAUUCUGCCCUAAGAUUAUAAUAUGAUGUUUCACAAUUUGUUUUUUAACUUUUUAAUUCUCUGUGUUUUUUUUACUGAUAUGUAUCUUAUGUCUCAAGGAAUAAGGCCGUGAAAAGUUCGGCCAACAGAAGCUUCAAGCCGCCGAUUCUCUCUCAUCAGCCAUUAACGGCGAGUACGACCACCAUCAUCAGAAUCCUCUCCUCCAGAUCUACUAGAAACUGCCCUCUUUUGCCCGUGAUCUGGCUGAAUAAUUUUGUCGCCUUCCAACAGUGGUUGCGCUGGGCUACACGCGCCACUGGGUCAAUUUUGUAAAUUUUAUGAGAAGUCCAGGAGUAUCUCAGUCUUUUUCCUAGUCAGGGUAUUUCUUUAUAUACAUGUAUUUUUUUUUUGUAUUUUAUAAAAUGCCCAAAAUAAAUAUAAAAAAAUAAUGACGCGGGUUCAACAUCCAUUUAUCUUGUCAUCGCGUGCGGUCCAACAUCCAUUUAUCUUGUCAUCGCGUGCGGUCCAACAACCAAAUCUCAAAUAUGAGUUAUGCCUAAUUUUAGUAAUAACAAUUUAAAUUUUUUUAAAAUAAAUAUUUUUCAUCUACACGUUUUUUUUUAUAAAAAAAAUGAUGUGAAAACUGCAAUUCUCUUUUUCAGAGUUAAAGGUUAACCUUGUCAAAGAACCAUCUCAACCCAAUAGCUUAAGCUGUUAGGAAUUUUUAUUAAAUAAAUGGGGAUGGUGAGAUUCGAACUCGUGACCGCUUGGCCAUCAAGGCUCUGAUACCAUGUCAAAGAACCAUCUCAACCCAAUAGCUUAAGCUGUUAGGUGAGGUCCCAGGAUAUGAUUUAUAUUAUUCUCUAACAAACCUUUUAGAUGAGUUUUUUAUUUUUGAAGAUUGAUAUCAUUUUGUUGUUUUCUAUUUUUGACAAAUCACAUAUUCAAUUUUAAAUUAAAUAAAAUUGAAAAGUAAACAUUUUCUUGCACGUGAAACUAUGAAGAAGUUACAAGGAGUUGGUGGGAGGUUGGUGACUUGGUGGCGGAGGUUGGUGGUGGGGACUCUAGUGUACAGUUUAUACCGUAGUUAAUAAUUAAUUAUUAUUUUUAGAGAUUAAUAUCAUUUUAUAAACAAGCUCAAAAUAUUAUAAUAUUUGAAUAAAAAAAAUACAUAUAAGAGUAAUUUUUCUCUUGAAAGUAUGUUUUAAGAGUAAUGUUUAUUAUUUUUAAUCAUAAAUAAUUUAGAACCUGAAUUUUUAGGAUUAAUAUCUAAUUUAAAAUUUUUAGUUCCCUUAAAUUAUUAUUACAUAACAACUCCAAUAAAAUCUUAAAUUUUAGGAAUAGUGUGACGACCUAGUCUAUGGACAAUAAUAAGAAACACACGCCAUCAUUUUAUAAAAGAAUUAUAAAAAAGGUGUAAAUGUAGUGUAUACACAAACACGUGUGAAUGUUGUAUAAAUAUAAAGAGGAGGUUGGAGUUUUCAUCACUAAAAUUUUUCGAGUCCAAAACACUUUGGAAUGGCUCCCACCCACUUGGAUUCAUCGUUUAGCACUCUCCCCACAUUAGCAUCUCCUAGUCGAUCCUUGGUAGAAUCUGUAUCAAGCAAGAAUUCUAAAGGUCGAUGCAUGGUUGCCACCGGAGAUGAUGACCAAAUUGUCCGGAGGUCGGGAAAUUACCAAACUUCCAUGUGGGAGUAUGAUUUUGUUCAGUCACUGACUAGUAAAUAUAAGGUAUAAUUGUUUGUCCUUGUAAUCUCAUGUUAUUUUAGUGUCACGCAACUUGAGUUGAAUACUUGAAUUUGAUGUUGUUUAGGGAGAGCCGUACAUAGCGCGAAGCGAAAUGCUGAAGGCAAACAUAAGGAUGAUGCUGGCGAAUGCAUCGAAACCCUUGGAUCAACUUGAGCUAAUCGAUACCUUGGAAAGACUUGGAUUAUCUUACCAUUUCGUUGAUGAAAUAAAGAGCACUUUGAAGAGCUUAUUUGAUGAAAAUCAUAUAGAGAAUACAGAGACAGUGCAUGAUUUGUAUGCUACUGCUCUAGAAUUUCGACUCUCAAGGCAGCGUGGAUAUCAUGUGCCUCAAGGCAAGUCUUUUCAUCAUUGUAGAUAUCGAUGGUUAUAUGCAUUCUCAUGAAUAAUUGUGUUAAGGUUUGUGUUCUCCAUUUGUAGAGGUUUUCAAUCAUUUCAAGGAUGAACAAGGAAACUUUAGGGCAUGGAUUCAUGACGAUUUGAAGGGAAUGCUAAACCUGUAUGAAGCUUCAUACUUCUUGGUAGAAGGGGAGAACAUAUUAGAAGAUGCAAGAGACUUCACCACCAAAAAUCUUGAAAACUAUGUCAAGAAGUGCAACACUACCGAAUAUCUUUCAGAGUUGGCGAGCCAUGCCUUGGAGCUUCCAUUGGCUUGGAGGAUGCUAAGAUUGGAGGCCCAUUGGUUCAUCAAUUUGUAUGAAACUAAAACUGAUAUGGAACCUGUUUUGUUAGAACUAGCAAAACUAGAUUUCAACAUGGUACAGGCAGUACUCCAAGAAGAUCUGAAAGAUUCAUCUAGGUACGUAUAAUUGAGAAGAUACUUCAUAUUAUUUUAUAAAUUGGAAGCAAAUUGAACUACAAAUAAAAACUAAUAUUAUUCAAUUAAAUUGUACGUAACAAUUUAAACUUUUCGAUUUCAUGAUCCCCCAUUGUUAUUAAUUUAAACAAUAUUUAGAUUUGAGGGUUCACUAAUGUUAUAAAAUUUAAUCAAGUUUACUUUAUAUAGCUUCUCUCUCACGGUGACAGUUUAAUUUCUUGACAUGAAAAGGUGGUGGAAGAUGACAGGACUUGGAGAAAAGUUGGAUUUUGCCAGGGACAGGCUGAUGGAGAAUUUCUUAUGGAGUGCGGGGAUCAUAUUUGAACCUCAAUUUGGUAAUUGCAGGAGAAUGCUAACAAAACUUAAUUCACUUGUAACAACAGUUGAUGAUAUUUAUGAUGUCCAUGGUACCUUAGAUGAGCUUGAGCUAUUCACAGAUGCCAUUGUAAGGUUUGUGCAGCGCCUAAGUCUUGGGCUCUAGGGUACAUUUAUAAUUAAUGCUAUAUUAGUAUUGCACCGUUUUAUUUUUUGUUUUUUGUUUUUUUUUAUGUUUAAAUUUCAGAUGGGAUCUUAAUUUCAUGGAUGUUCUUCCAGACUAUAUGAAAUUAUGUUUUUUUGCAUUGUUCAAUUCGAUAAACGAAGUUGCUUAUGAUAUUCUAAGAGAUCAAGGAGUUGACAGCCUCCCUUACUUGAAGAAAGCGGUAUUUGUUUUUUUUAUUUUUUUUAAUUUUAGUGAUAUUUUAAAAAUAAUUAAUCAUUUUUUUUAAUGGAAUAUAAGAUUAUCUUUGAUGCAAUAUAAAGUGAAAACAAAGAAUUAGAGUUUGUUAAGUUUUAAGGUUACAUCUCCUAACUAUAAUUCAUAAAAUUAUAAUGAAAAAACAACACAUCAACUACUUAUAUAAUGAUAAAAGUUGAUCUAAAAAAAUAAUUUAAAACUAAGUAGAAAUUAUAAUUAAAAUUUGAAAAUAUCAGGAGAUAAUUAAAAUUGAAAAGACAACAUCUAUUAAGUCUAAUUUAAGGACUCUCUUGACCUCUGAUGAUUAUAACUUGCUGAUUUGAUCUUCUAUAGAACUGGGUAUAGAAAACUCCCUAACUAAAUUUGAACUCAAUCCAGAAUUCUGAUCUAAAAUUAUAGAUGUUUAAUUGUUAGACUAGUUGCUUGGCAUGUCUGAACUAUUUUUUGAGUUUUGUCAUGUCUGUAUGAUCCAUAAGAGCACAUCUGUAAUACGUUUCACAUCAGUCUUUCUCCUAAUUAAGGAUUUAAUUGUUUUCUUCUAAAUUGUUUUGUACUUGUAAAUUAUCAAGCUGAUAUAUUUAUGUGCCAUUCUUAAUUUUCAGUGGGCAGAUUUAUGUAAAUCAUAUUUGUUGGAAGCUAAGUGGUACUACAGUGGAUAUACACCAACUCUUCAAGAAUACUUAGAUAAUGCAUGGAUUUCAAUUGGAGUACCACUGGCUAUUGUUCAUGCAUACUUUUAUGCUCCGAAUCCAACAGCAGAGGAGGCCUCGCAUUUCACGGAGGAAUACCCAGAUAUAAUUCGAUGGUCAUCCAUGAUUGUACGCCUUGCUGAUGAUCUUGGAACCUCCUCGGUAUGCUAGACUUCUCCCACUCCGAGACAUAGUUUCGUCCUUCCUUAUUUAUUUUGGUGGAGAUAAUGGUUAUUUGUUUUUUAGUUUUUUAAGAAUAUAAAGCUAAUUUUCUAUUUCUCUUUUACAGGAUGAAAUAAAAAGAGGAGAUGUUUCCAAAUCAAUCCAAUGUUACAUGCACGAAACUGAAGCUUCUGAAGAAGAAGCUCGUGAUCAUAUAAAGAAAUUAAUCAGCUAUGCAUGGAAAAAAUUAAAUGCUUCUCAAUUUUCUAAUCCCCAUAUCUCUCAAACUAUCAUUGGUGUUGCAGUCAACCUUCCACGAACGGCACAAUGCAUUUACCAAUAUGGAGAUGGGCAUGCUAUUGAACAUCUUGAGACCAAGGAUCGGGUGAUGUCCUUACUUAUUAAGCCUUUAUAAUUUCAUAAAAAAAAAAAAGGGACUAAUUAAUUUGAUAUAAUUGCUCAUGGGAGCGACUUGUAUCAAAUUAGAAAGGAAGAGUGUCCCUUGGUGUGUCAAAUAAUUAUUAGAUUCCAGAUGCUAUAUGUAAUAAAACUUGACUUCUAGAAUAAAUAAUUGUAAUUCCAACGUUGUUAUUUUCCUUCGUUAAAAUAAAAUUUCAAUAAUCAAAUAAUUAAUUUUCGAUCAUUUUAUUUUAUUGUUUAUGACUGACUAAUUUUUAUAGCUCAAAUGAAUUAGCAUCACCUAUUUUGUACCCGUCUCUCUUAUAUGAGAAAUUGUAAGAUGGAUUAUGACUAUCAAUUCAUCUAUAUUAACUAAACCGAUAAUUAUCAAUGCUUCUUGUUCUCGCACAGCGGUUUCUUUUGAUUAUUAUUUAAUACUUGCUAUCCAAUUUUUGAUCCAUGUUUUAAUAAUUUUUCAAAAAUAAAAAAAAUAAAAAUAAGAAUAAAAAUAAGGGUUUACAUGUGGCGAUAACAUAGAGCAUCAAGGCUAAUAUUAAAGAAGCAAUAUGUCAAUGAGAUAAUUACUGAAUCAUAUAUAAUUACUGCAAUAUAAAAUACCAUAGAUAUAAGAUUUGAUUCGUGCUGGUUAUGGAAAAUAAUCACUGCAAUAUAAAAUACCAUAUAUAUAGGAUUUGUUGGUACUAGUUAUAGAAGACAAUCUCUAUAAUAAUUAUUACAAUAUUCCCUUAAAUAACACGUGUAGAGAUUUUUUAUAUAAGUAAACCUCCAGUCAUAUAUAUAUAUAUAUAUAUAUAUAUAUACCGGGGAAGAAAAAUAUUCACAAGGAGGCAAUUUUUCAAAAAAAAAGAGAGCCGCACACAAAAAAAAUAAAAAAAAACCUAAACCCGUUUCUCUUUCUUAGCCGCAGCCCCUCCUCUCUUAAAAAACAAAAAAAACCGCCGCCCGUAGCCCCACCUUCUUCUCCUCCCACAGCAGCCGACCAGAUCGUUCCCCUUGCCCUCCCAUCUCUCCAGCCGCCCAUCCUCCUUUCCCACAGAAGAAAGCAGCUGCCGCCCUUCCCCUUUUUUGGGACCAAAACCAGAGAGCACCUCACGGUUCUUCUUCCCCAUCGCCAUUUUUCAGCACUCGAAACCCCCGACUCUUUUUUGUUUUUUGCCUCAGCUGACCGAAACCUUCAGCCUUCCACCAUCUCCUUCCCCCACAAGCCAACCAACCCCAGCUCCUCCACAAUACAGCCCCAGCCAUACUCUCCCCGAUGUCUGCCUCUUAAUCUCCAAAAUCAAAGCCAACUCUCCCCAUUUUUCCAGCCAAUCGCCUCCCAGACCCGCACACACUGCCUCCUCUCCAUUUCCCCUCUCCAUCGUCCUCUCCUUUCUCAGCCGACCCACAGCCAUCACAGACCGGACCAGCCACCAGCAACAGCAAAGACGCAACACUUCUACAGAGCCAGCAACCCCUCCCCUCUCCGUAGCGGCUCCACCGGACGCGGGCGACAGCAGCGAAACAACAGCCCACAGACCCACCGCUGUCCCUUUCCCCAGCGGCGACACCCACAGCUCCGACCUCUAACACUCCUUCCACAACCUCCAAAUCAGCCACCGAAGAAGGGAAGAACAACAAACCAUAACUGAAAACAGACAAAAAAAAAACAGAUCCGAAAGAGAAGAAAAAAAGAUAAAAUCAACUGUUUGCGGCCUUUUUUUUGUGUUUUGCAGGUCACCGCCGGCGAGGAAGGCAAGAGAGGAGGAAGCCGCUCCAGAUCCCCCAGCUGCCCGGACGCGCCGCCAGUGUUCCUGCUUUCCCAGAAGUGUUCCUCUGCAAUUCCUGAAUAUUUGGGGUCUAUUUUGCAAUUUUUGAAUUGUAUAUCAUGUGUAGAUUUGUUUUGAAUUUAUGUUAUUUGUAAUUAUAUAUGAGUGUACGAGAAAAACAUAAUAAAAAGGGGAUGUGUGUGUAUGUAGUUUUUUAUGUAUGUUAUUAAAUUAUAAAAUCAAAAAGAUAAAAAAAUGAAUUUAUUGUUUUAAUUUGGUGUAUGGUCGAGUAUUUGAAGGACAAAUAAAAUUAUGUUGUAUUUCUCGUGAAAAUAUAAGAACAUGUUUCUAUGUAUAUUCUGGGAUUUAAUAACUGAUUUAUUAAAGCCGUAAGAAUUUGACUAAUUUGACUUUAAUUGUGAUUAAAU
rnacentral:lncRNA from 1 species